rnacentral:rRNA from 1 species
GUACCACCCGUUCCCAUCCCGAACACGGAAGUUAAGACCUCCUGGGCUGAAAAUACUGCAAGGGAAGAUAAGACGUUGCCAGGU